AGUCACUGACGAGUUUGAUUAUGGCUCAGAACGAACGCUGGCGGCAUGCCUAACACAUGCAAGUCGAACGAACCCUUCGGGGUGAGUGGCGCACGGGUGCGUAACGCGUGGGAACCUGCCCUUAGGUUCGGAAUAACAGUGAGAAAUCGCUGCUAAUACCGGAUAAUGUCUUCGGACCAAAGAUUUAUCGCCUUUGGAUGGGCCCGCGUUGGAUUAGCUAGUUGGUGGGGUAAAGGCUCACCAAGGCGACGAUCCAUAGCUGGUCUUAGAGGAUGAUCAGCCACACUGGGACUGAGACACGGCCCAGACUCCUACGGGAGGCAGCAGUGGGGAAUAUUGGACAAUGGGCGAAAGCCUGAUCCAGCAGUGCCGCGUGAGUGAUGAAGGCCUUAGGGUUGUAAAGCUCUUUUACCAGGGAUGAUAAUGACAGUACCUGGAGAAUAAGCUCCGGCUAACUCCGUG
rnacentral:rRNA from 1 species